AUGGGUAGGGCGCAGUCCGGUUAGCGCAUCCCGACGCUCUGCGUCGAGGAGGGCCGUAGGUUCGAAUCCUACUACCC
rnacentral:tRNA from 1 species